rnacentral:rRNA from 1 species
GCGACUGUUUAUUAAAAACACAGCACUCUGCAAACACGAAAGUGGACGUAUAGGGUGUGACGCCUGCCCGGUGCCGGAAGGUUAAUUGAUGGGGUUAGCGCAAGCGAAGCUCUUGAUCGAAGCCCCGGUAAACGGCGGCCGUAACUAUAACGGUCCUAAGGUAGCGAAAUUCCUUGUCGGGUAAGUUCCGACCUGCACGAAUGGCGUAACGAUGGCGGCGCUGUCUCCACCCGAGACUCAGUGAAAUUGAAAUCGCUGUGAAGAUGCAGUGUAUCCGCGGCUAGACGGAAAGACCCCGUGAACCUUUACUGUAGCUUUGCACUGGACUUUGAGCCUGCUUGUGUAGGAUAGGUGGGAGGCUUUGAAGCGUGGACGCCAGUUCGCGUGGAGCCAUCCUUGAAAUACCACCCUGGCAUGCUUGAGGUUCUAACUCUGGUCCGUGAUCCGGAUCGAGGACAGUGUAUGGUGGGCAGUUUGACUGGGGCGGUCUCCUCCUAAAGAGUAACGGAGGAGUACGAAGGUGCGCUCAGACCGGUCGGAAAUCGGUCGCAGAGUAUAAAGGCAAAAGCGCGCUUGACUGCGAGACAGACACGUCGAGCAGGUACGAAAGUAGGUCUUAGUGAUCCGGUGGUUCUGUAUGGAAGGGCCAUCGCUCAACGGAUAAAAGGUACUCCGGGGAUAACAGGCUGAUACCGCCCAAGAGUUCAUAUCGACGGCGGUGUUUGGCACCUCGAUGUCGGCUCAUCACAUCCUGGGGCUGAAGCCGGUCCCAAGGGUAUGGCUGUUCGCCAUUUAAAGUGGUACGCGAGCUGGGUUUAGAACGUCGUGAGACAGUUCGGUCCCUAUCUGCCGUGGACGUUUGAGAUUUGAGAGGGGCUGCUCCUAGUACGAGAGGACCGGAGUGGACGAACCUCUGGUGUUCCGGUUGUCACGCCAGUGGCAUUGCCGGGUAGCUAUGUUCGGAAAAGAUAACCGCUGAAAGCAUCUAAGCGGGAAACUUGCCUCAAGAUGAGAUCUCACUGGGAACUUGAUUCCCCUGAAGGGCCGUCGAAGACUACGACGUUGAUAGGCUGGGUGUGUAAGCGUUGUGAGGCGUUGAGCUAACCAGUACUAAUUGCCCGUGAGGCUUGACCAU